GUGUAAACUUAAACCUUUGUAAUGUAAAGCUCGAAGCUUGUCUAAACAUGGCUUCUAUUAGUUAAUGAGCGGUGCUUUGAUAUCGUCGUUGUUUAUGCAGGUGCUCUGACCGGAGUAGUCACCACUCCGCUUGAUGUUAUUAAGACAAGAUUAAUGGUUCAGGGAAUAAUAGUAUCCUCACACUUUAGAAGUCUCCCUUUGUAUCUCCAAAAUCCAAUCAUCUUAUUGCCCUUCUUUGACAUUUUUCAGGGAUCAACCAAACAAUAUCAAAGAAUCGUUGACUGUGUUCAAACAAUUGUAAGGGAGGAAGGAGCUCCUGCUCUCUUAAAGGUAUUGGGCCAAGAGUGUUGUGGAUAGGUAUUGGAGGUUCAAUCUUCUUUGGUGUCCUCGAGAGCACUAAGAGAACACUUGCACAGAGACGUCCCAAUACGGUUAAAGAAACCAAAGAGGGUUCCCAAUACGUUAUCUAACGAGCACAACGAACUUUGGUCGUAAUUCAUUUUUAAUUCAGACUUUGUUGUUCAAUUUAGAUGUUGAACUUCAAUCGUCAAAUGUCAGUUGUAUUAUACUUAGAAAGCAUAGGUUCCGAAUCUAAAUAAUCCACAAGAUAAAAAUGAAAAAUAUGUGUGAUCACAAACUACAAAGAAAUCACGGGUGGAUUUCACUUA